UACAGGUUAGUAAUGAGGCUAUAUACAGGGGUACAGGUUAGUAAUGAGACUAUAUACAGGGGGUACAGGUUAGUAAUGAGACUAUAUACAGGGGGUACAGGUUAGUAAUGAGACUAUAUACAGGGGUACAGGUUAGUAAUGAGACUAUAUACAGGGGUACAGGUUAGUAAUGAGACUAUAUACAGGGGUACAGGUUAGUAAUGAGACUAUAUACAGGGGGUACAGGUUAGUAAUGAGACUAUAUACAGGGGGUACAGGUUAGUAAUGAGGCUAUAUACAGGGGGUACAGGUUAGUAAUGAGACUAUAUACAGGGGGUACAGGUUAGUAAUGAGACUAUAUACAGGGGGUACAGGUUAGUAAUGAGACUAUAUACAGGGGGUACAGGUUAGUAAUGAGGCUAUAUACAGGGGGUACAGGUUAGUAAUGAGACUAUAUACAGGGGUACAGGUUAGUAAUGAGGCUAUAUACAGGGGUACAGGUUAGUAAUGAGACUAUAUACAGGGGGUACAGGUUAGUAAUGAGACUAUAUACAGGGGUACAGGUUAGUAAUGAGACUAUAUACAGGGGUACAGGUUAGUAAUGAGACUAUAUACAGGGGGUACAGGUUAGUAAUGAGACUAUAUACAGGGGUACAGGUUAGUAAUGAGACUAUAUACAGGGGUACAGGUUAGUAAUGAGACUAUAUACAGGGGUACAGGUUAGUAAUGAGACUAUAUACAGGGGGUACAGGUUAGUAAUGAGACUAUAUACAGGGGGUACAGGUUAGUAAUGAGACUAUAUACAGGGGGUACAGGUUAGUAAUGAGACUAUAUACAGGGGGUACAGGUUAGUAAUGAGACUAUAUACAGGGGGUACAGGUUAGUAAUGAGACUAUAUACAGGGGGUACAGGUUAGUAAUGAGACUAUAUACAGGGGUACAGGUUAGUAAUGAGACUAUAUACAGGGGGUACAGGUUAGUAAUGAGACUAUAUACAAGGGGUACAGGUUAGUAAUGAGACUAUAUACAGGGGGUACAGGUUAGUAAUGAGACUAUAUACAGGGGGUACAGGUUAGUAAUGAGACUAUAUACAGGGGGUACCGGUUAGUAAUGAGGCUAUAUA